GAUAAGUAGGGGGCGGGAGGAGAGGUAAUGGGGGGGAUGGUAGUGUUAUACGGUAUGAUGGUGUGGUAGGGGUCCGUUGGCGGUAUUAUAAGGUAGUGGUGAAAUCUCCUAGCUCAACUAGGAAACUGGCAUUGGUACUGUAGGACUUGAAUUUUUUUGAAGGAACUAGAAUAUGUAGUGUAGCGGUGAAAUGCUUAGAUAUUACAUGGAAUACCAAUUGCGAAGGCAGGUUACUAACAAACGAUUGACGCUGAUGGACGAAAGCGUGGGGAGCGAACAGGAUUAGAUACCCCAGUAGUC
rnacentral:rRNA from 1 species